GACGAACGCUGGCGGCGUGCUUAACACAUGCAAGUCGAACGGUAAGGCCCUUCGGGUACGACGAGUGGCGAACGGGUGAGUAACACGUGGGUGAUCUGCCCUGCACUUCGGGAUAAGCCUGGGAAACUGGGUCUAAUACCGGAUAGGACCAUGGACUUCACGGUUUGUGGUGGAAAGCUUUUGCGGUGUGGGAUGGGCCCGCGGCCUAUCAGCUUGUUGGUGGGGUAAUGGCCUACCAAGGCGACGACGGGUAGCCGGCCUGAGAGGGUGUCCGGCCACACUGGGACUGAGAUACGGCCCAGACUCCUACGGGAGGCAGCAGUGGGGAAUAUUGCACAAUGGGCGCAAGCCUGAUGCAGCGACGCCGCGUGAGGGAUGACGGCCUUCGGUUGUAACUACUUUCUAAUAGGACGAAGACGCAAGUAGACGGUACCUA
rnacentral:rRNA from 1 species